CAGGUUUAGUGACUCACUGAGGGGAUCAGUGUUGAGGGCUGAAUUGGCAGACGUGGUUUACAUUCCAACACCUUAAUCGUUAUGCCACCCUGCCUGUAUGAAUCAUCCUGGGUUCAUCUUUUGUUCAGUUUCUUUUACUCUCUCUCAGAAACCGUGGUGGUUUUGACUCCUAAUACUCGGGGUAAUAAUGAGGGACAGCUGAAGGAUACAGGCAUCCCUCUGGCCCCUGCUUAGACACUGAGGCUGAGGUAGCCAGCCUUGGCCACCACUGAGAUACUGAUACUGAGACUUCAACAUCUGUUUACCCUGGUCCUCUUUAAUAUUUAUUGUUCAACCUGUAAUAUCCUCACAGGCAGAGAUCUGUGCCCUGGAGUGACCCUGAGGCAAACUGCCCUUCUAUCUUUCCUAUCAUCUUGCAUAUUCCUUUGGGGCCAAGUGAACAGAAUAGGCAGGUAGUUGUGCCUCUGCCUUCCUUCAGGUUUGACCGUCUCACUGGCUGUGCCACUUGCUUCCUGUUACGAGACAAUUACUAAGCUGCAUUUGAAAAGAGGUUUAUACAGUAUUCAUCCAUCCAUUUUCUAACCCGCUGAAUCCGAAUACAGGGUCACGGGGGUCCGCUGGAGCCAAUCCCA